UAAAACGCAACACUGUGAUUGGACCGGCGAUUACAUGAUAAAAACGCAGUGUUGCCAAAUUUUACAGAAUCACCGCGUGAACACUAACUUCUUAUGCCUGUCAUACAUGGAGAUUGUUCCGAAUAAAUACAAAAAAAUCAUCUGAGUGGCCGCCGCUGCUGAGUGAUUUUUUUGCUUCCCCACUGUUUCUUUUUAUUUUCUUUCUUUUUGCACUCCGCCGACUAGUGCUCUUUCUCUCCCACCGUGUGUGUGUGUGUGUGUGUGUGUGCGUGUGUACAUGCUUGAAAAUGACGUCGACCCCCAAAGGUUGUCUGAAAAGAGAAAACGUUUUUCAAGCUGCAGUAUAUACAACUUGUUUUUUAUCAAGCUAUUGCUUGAAUUAAAGUGUGAAAACAAUGGCGACAACUUUGCUAUAUAGAUGAAUGAUCUCCACUUUGUUCAAUCACGUGAUGUUUACGUCGAUCCCCACGAGUCAAACCGUUCUAAAACGGCUCUUCAGAAUGAAGCAUGUAAACAGCAGGGCCGAGAUAGCUUCAGUUGGUCUCCACGUCUCACAGGACUUUGUUCAACAAUGACUGCUGACGUUUACAGAAAAAAAAAACACUCUCCUCUGCACCCUCAGCUGUUUACGCUCUACUGCCAAGGCAAGGUCUAAUUAUGCAUUUGAGCGUGAGAGUUUAAUUUGCACGUUUCAUUUGGAGUGAUUGGCACUCGCAUAAGUUACGCUGAAUGCUGCUUAACUAAAGGAGAGGCAGGCGGUAGACACUAAGCUCUAUCACUUUGCCACUCCAGUUACCCAAGCAACACAAGUUUUCGCGAGAUUUAUAUGAAUGUCUCACAGGAAACUAAAUGUGUCAGAGAAAAAAAAA